rnacentral:siRNA from 1 species
AGUGGCAUACCUUACUUGUGCAUC